GACGAACGCUGGCGGCAUGCCUAAUACAUGCAAGUCGAGCGCAGGAAGCUGACGGAACUCUUCGGAGAGAAGGCAGUGGAAUGAGCGGCGGACGGGUGAGUAACACGUAAGGAACCUGCCUCAAGGAUUGGGAUAACUCCGAGAAAUCGGAGCUAAUACCGGAUAGUUCAACGGACCGCAUGGUCCGCUGAUGAAAGGCGCUUCGGCGUCACCUUGAGAUGGCCUUGCGGUGCAUUAGCUAGUUGGUGGGGUAACGGCCCACCAAGGCGACGAUGCAUAGCCGACCUGAGAGGGUGAUCGGCCACACUGGGACUGAGACACGGCCCAGACUCCUACGGGAGGCAGCAGUAGGGAAUCUUCCACAAUGGACGAAAGUCUGAUGGAGCAACGCCGCGUGAGUGGUGAAGGUUUUCGGAUCGUAAAGCUCUGUUGUAAGGGAAGAACACGUACGAGAGGGAAUGCUCGUACCUUGACGGUACCUUACGAGAAAGCCACGGCUAACUACGUGCCAGCCGCCGCCGUAA
rnacentral:rRNA from 1 species